GGUAUUAACCAGAGACGAGUCAAGUAACGAGUCAACCACUGGUCAACCGCGGUCAAAGCUGGUCAAUAGUGGUUAACAUGUCAGACUCGGUUGGCAUUUGAAUCGGGGAAACUCGGUGAGAAAUUCAAGAACUGGGCAUUCGUGAUGCCAUGUUAUAUUGACGGAAGUAGUAUGUACCCACUUGUAUACGAAUCUUUAUUACCUAAAGUACGUCGUUAGCUCCACAAGCACGCCUUUGUCUCUGUUGAAGACAAAUCGAGCGUUAGCUGCACCAGAUAAAAAAAAAAACCUUUGUCUCUGUUGAAGAAAAAUUGAGCGUUAGCCGUACCAGAAAAAAAGAGCUAUGAGUGUGCUCCUGUUGUAUUUGGUGCAGUUUCAUCAACUGCUAUUGUAUUAUGUGGGCACAUAAGUAGUUAUCACUCAAUUAGCUAUUGGUGCUCCUCUGCCUCCUGUAGGUUCCACCCAGAGUAAUAGAGUAAUAUGACGUCUUUGUGGCUGCAGUAGAUAAAGGAAAUAUAAUAACAAUGCCAAACAGAAGCAUGCCUACUCCUGGCGCGCUUUUAAUGGGAGACCCAUUUAACACGUGACACCCGUUCCGGUGUAGGAAUGAUUGUUGUGUUAUCAGAUAUCGUCUUACUUCGCGACCUUUGUAGACCACUAAGUAAUCUUAAUGAUGCACCUACACUUUGCAAUUAUCUUGAGUGCUUCUAUGCU
rnacentral:lncRNA from 1 species